rnacentral:rRNA from 1 species
AAAUUGAAGAGUUUGAUCAUGGCUCAGAUUGAACGCUGGCGGCAGGCCUAACACAUGCAAGUCGAACGGUAACAGGAAACAGCUUGCUGUUUCGCUGACGAGUGGCGGACGGGUGAGUAAUGUCUGGGAAACUGCCUGAUGGAGGGGGAUAACUACUGGAAACGGUAGCUAAUACCGCAUAACGUCGCAAGACCAAAGAGGGGGACCCUCGGGCCUCUUGCCAUCGGAUGUGCCCAGAUGGGAUUAGCUUGUUGGUGGGGUAACGGCUCACCAAGGCGACGAUCCCUAGCUGGUCUGAGAGGAUGACCAGCCACACUGGAACUGAGACACGGUCCAGACUCCUACGGGAGGCAGCAGUGGGGAAUAUUGCACAAUGGGCGCAAGCCUGAUGCAGCCAUGCCGCGUGUAUGAAGAAGGCCUUCGGGUUGUAAAGUACUUUCAGCGGGGAGGAAGGGAGUAAAGUUAAUACCUUUGCUCAUUGACGUUACCCGCAGAAGAAGCACCGGCUAACUCCGUGCCAGCAGCCGCGGUAAUACGGAGGGUGCAAGCGUUAAUCGGA